UACACUCACACACACAGACAGGAUCUGCUCUGGUCCUGCAGUCUGGAGGUAACCUCUCAGAGAACACAGGGUCGCCCAGGUCUCUGUCAGCUCUGCCCUCACGACCAACAUGAUACCUCAGCCAGGACGUGGUACGGAAAGUGGCAAUCAAAUGAUCUUCCUACACUGAUCUACAGUACGCCAACCAUGUGGAAUCCAUUCAGUAGAGGGCGCCACUGAGUUGUUGCUCUUCUGAGCCACACAAUGUAGAGCCAACACGACCCAAAUAAAAUCCUCAGUUCACAUCAAA